ensembl:processed_transcript BC065397 cDNA sequence BC065397
GUUGCGCAACUCGCGGACGGGGAGAGAGAGAAAAAAACAAAAGGAAAAGGAAUAAUGAAGGUUUUGAGGUACGCGUCGCGUGUUUGCCCCUCAGCUUUCUGUAAUGGUUCUGUGCUGUCCGGAGCGAGAAGUUUUUAAGCCUUUUCCCCGAGGGAGCUCACCUGUGUGACAGACCUUACCUGAAGAUCGGGCCUAGUCUCCGAUGCAGGAGCCUGGGGAGACUCUCCGGCCGCAGGGCGGCUCAAGGUGUCACUCCAGGUAUACAUCUACAUGUGUGUAUGUGACAUGUGUUCAAAAGGCAGAGGCACUGGGUCCUCCGGAGCUGGAAUUACUGGCUGUUCUGAGACACCUGA